AUAUAUAUAUAUUUUUUUUUUUUUUUUUGAACAAGGCCUGUUGGUUUUGUCUUGUUUCUUCUACAGGAGUCCUUGUAAGAUGGUGGUGCUGAUACCGGAGCCGCCCAGUUAAGUGUUACCUGAUGUCAGAAGAAGAAGAAGAAGAAGAAGCAUGACUAUUUGAGAUCAACAACCAAAGUCUACAGUCCUUGGCUUGUGUGAAACGUCCAGCUGCUCAUCAACUGUGAGAUGGGGGAAGAGAAGUUUUGAUGUAUGAAUACAGAGGGUCCAAUUGGAGAUGUCUUACCUCGAAGGACUAUUUGGAGGAUCCAAUUAGGAGCGUCAACGAGGCGCAGCCCUGGGUGCUGUGUGCAAUUAGGAGUGUCACAGAGGCACCGCCCAGUGAGGAGAUGCGAUUGGCCGUUCACAGGUGUGAGCAAUCAGCAGUGUGCUACUUGAGCAGCAGUGCCGGUGUGUCAGUCCUUGUGUGAAGACUGACGUGUGCUGUGUGUUUCAUGGCUCACAGCAAACACUGAGGACCUGCUAGCUAACUCCUUUCUGUGCAAAAACCGAAGGCACGGGUGAAGAUGUGCAGGUCCACCGAGCUUCUUUUUCCGCAAAAACCGAAGACACGGGUGAAGGCUAACUUCUUUCUCCGCAAACGAUGGCUUGGACAGCAAAAACUGAAGGCAUGGGUGAAGACCUGCCCUGCUCCUUUCCUCAAAAACUGAAGACAUGGCUGAAGGCUAACUUCUUUCUCCGCAGGCGGCAGCCAUUGCACUCAUUGUCUCUGCCGUGUGCUUCAUUGCUCACAGCUGUGUAGGAUGAAGCAAAGACUGAAGGGUGCUCUCUGCAAACACUCUGGAGCUGUGGUGUCACCAACAAUGAAAGGUAAGUGUUGAAAAGCUGUAGGUAACACUAUCACAAGCAUUUACCUUCUGCCUUUUCCUCCACCAGCACCAAGAGCCCCUUGCUGAUGACACCAAGCCCAUUCCUGCUCAAACCAUGGGGGAAAGAGAAGAAGGAACCAACCAACUGCUAAUUGUGGUAUGGAGAUGUGUUACUAAGUCAAAAACAGCAACACUGCUAGAUGCAACAACAGAGUAUCUGACA